UACGUAGGGUGCGAGCGUUGUCCGGAAUUAUUGGGCGUAAAGGGCUCGUAGGCGGUUUGUCGCGUCGGGAGUGAAAUCCACUGGCUUAACUGGUGGCUUGCUUUCGAUACGGGCAGACUGGAGGUAUGCAGGGGAGAACGGAAUUCCUGGUGUAGCGGUGAAAUGCGUAGAGAUCGUAAGGAAGGCCAGUGGCGAAGGCGAGUUCCUGGACAGUUACUGACGCUGAGGCACGAAGGCCAGGGGAGCAAACGGG
rnacentral:rRNA from 1 species